AGAGUUUGAUCAUGGCUCAGAUUGAACGCUGGCGGCAUGCCUUACACAUGCAAGUCGAACGGCAGCACGGGGGCAACCCUGGUGGCGAGUGGCGAACGGGUGAGUAAUAUAUCGGAACGUGCCCUGGAGUGGGGGAUAACGUAGCGAAAGUUACGCUAAUACCGCAUACGAUCUACGGAUGAAAGUGGGGGAUCGCAAGACCUCAUGCUCGUGGAGCGGCCGAUAUCUGAUUAGCUAGUUGGUAGGGUAAAAGCCUACCAAGGCAUCGAUCAGUAGCUGGUCUGAGAGGACGACCAGCCACACUGGGACUGAGACACGGCCCAGACUCCUACGGGAGGCAGCAGUGGGGAAUUUUGGACAAUGGGGGCAACCAUGAUCCAGCAAUGCCGCGUGAGUGAAGAAGGCCUUCGGGUUGUAAAGCUCUUUUGUCAGGGAAGAAACGGUUGUCUCUAAUACAGAUGGCUAAUGACGGUACCUGAAGAAUAAGCACCGGCUAACUACGUGCCAGCAGCCGCGGUAAUACGUAGGGUGCAAGCGUUAAUCGGAAUUACUGGGCGUAAAGCGUGCGCAGGCGGUUUGGUAAGACAGAUGUGAAAUCCCCGGGCUUAACCUGGGAAUUGCAUUUGUGACUGCCCGGCUAGAGUGUGUCAGAGGGGGGUAGAAUUCCACGUAGCAGUGAAAUGCGUAGAUAUGUGGAGGAAUACCGAUGGCGAAGGCAGCCCCCUGGGAUAACACUGACGCUCAUGCACGAAAGCGUGGGGAGCAAACAGGAUUAGAUACCCUAGUAGUCC
rnacentral:rRNA from 1 species